GGCCCCGCGGUGUGAGGGUUCACGCCCUGGCGGAGGGUGUGGAAGGCCGGCCCGGCUGGCUGAAAGGAGGUAGAGGCCGGUCGGGUCCGGCGGGGAGUCCACCCAGCACAGGGGGCCUGGGGAGCCGGAGCGCUCCCUGCCGAGCUCGUUGCCCUGGUUCUCCUGGGCCACAUCCUCGCAGGCUCUCCCCAUCUCCGGGUCUCACUCCCUGUCCCCUUGCUGGUCGCUGGCCGGGCCGUACAGCUACCCCGGCCCUACAGCUGCCCCCUUUCACUCCCGCUUCAGCCUCGCCCUUUGCCCCUGAAGGCAAUGCGUUUCCUGCCACUGGGAGUUCACGUCUCUGCAGCCUGGCCUGUGGCCGUCCUCACUUGACUAGAUCAUGACUCACGUCGACGAAGCAGCCCGCCGGCUGUCCAAGACCGGGACGAGCCUCUACGCAGUGCUGGAGCUCAAGAAGGGCGCCUCACCUGAUGAAAUCAAAAAGGCCUACAGGAGACUGGCCUUGAAGUAUCACCCAGACAAAAAUCCAGGGGAUGCUCAAGCAGCAGAAAUAUUCAAAGAGAUCAACGCUGCUCACUCUGUACUGAGUGAUGAAAAGAAGCGGAAAAUCUACGACCGGCAUGGCUCGUUGGGAUUGUAUUUAUACGAUCACUUUGGUGAAGACGGCGUCAGAUACUAUUUUAUGAUGAACAGUUGUUGGUUCAAGACACUUGUCUUCCUGUGUGUUCUACUCACCUGUUGCUGCUGCUGCUGUUGCUGCUGCUUUUGUUGUGGGACACUAAAGCCGCCCCCCGAGGACAUAGCGAGGAGAAAAUAUGAGCAGAACGUCCAGACCCAGCCCGGGCGAGCGGGUGAGGACCCGACAGGGACAAGGAAACAAAGCGACUUUUAGAAGAUCGGAAGAAAAUGAUAGUGAAGAUAAUUAAAAGAUGAAGAAGAGUGGGGUGCUGACCCAAUGAAGGUGACGUCCACUGCCCAGUCCACUGGACACAUCGAAGAGAGGAGCAAGUAGCCCUGUCCUGACAUUGACCCUGAAUUGCCCCUCUUCUUGCAAGAAUCCCAACUCGAGAAGCACUGAUGGCGUCCAUCCCAGUGAGGAUGCGGUCUCUGCCCCUGACGGCGUCACUCACCCUGGCCACACAGGGUCGCCCAGCGACUCUUCUUUUUUAGCUCCGGUCCCAGUUUUAAUGUUAGAGAGCAGACACACACACCCCAGCCCUGCCCUUGAGAGAUCUCAGGCGGUGGUGAUAGACUUCCCAGCAUCCUUUUCCCCGCGCCUCCUUUGGGAUUUGAGCCCAUGUCAGCUGGGUAGGGUCCCUGAGUCACUUGUGAUGUCUCCACCCAAUCCAGAAAGCUGAGCAGAGUGGAUCCAGUCCCAGAGCUGCGGUACCAUUAAUCCUCCUUCGUUGCAACUCUGCACCAAGGACUCUUAGCAUCAGGUUCAUUCCUAAGACAGUACUCCUUUCCGGGUGGGACCAGCUGCACCUUCUUCUGGUGCCCAUACCCUUAGCAUCACCAACCUCAUUCCAUGCCACCACGCGUCAGCCGGGGACAGGACAAAUGCGUUUGAGGCUCAGGGGUAGUUCUCCCGCUUGUGAGUUGUCCCUGGGCGGCAGCUGCCAGCUUCACCCCAUCAGCAUGGGCCCUGUGGUUGCCUGACGUUCUCAAUCGGUGCCUGUUUGCCUCCGUUCUUUCACCACCUCUGAUGCAGGCUGUUUUCAAAACAGAGGCAUGAAACCCACGAUAGGGAAAUGAUUGUACGUUUACAGACCCUUUUCCCACUCGGGCCUCUUCACACAACCUGUUUGGUAUCCUCUCCCCAGCAUUUAUUUCCCAUCCACGAGGGUCAGAGUUUUGUACGUCCUCAUACUUGUCUGUCCUGACUGGGAGAAGGGCUGAAGAAUGUCAGUAAAUAAAAGAGCU